rnacentral:lncRNA from 1 species
AACCCAGGGGGUGGGGAACAAAAGAGGGGCCGGGCGGCGGGGCCGCAGCGGGGAGCUGCAAGGAGCCGACGUCGGGAGUCCGGGGGGCCGGGGUCUCCGGCGGGGUCGGGCCCGGGGCGGGGGCGCCGGACGGCGGGGCCCAACGGGCCGCGGCCUGACAGAGCCGAGGCGGCGGGGACCCCGCGAGGCGGCCGGACCGGGCCGCCCCCAGCUCAGGCCUCCCGCGCGCGCCCCGCUCCCCCCGAAACUUCUCCUGGAGCCCGCGCCGGCCUCCCGGCAGCCGCCGGCCUCUCCCGGCGCACACACGCACUCUCGGACGAGCCAACUCACCCGGACCCCGGGGAACUCAUCGUCCAGCCCUCGGCGCGGAGCGGGGUGGGCGCGGCGAGCCGCCGGGGCGCGGCGGGGGCCCGACUCGGCCUCCGCCCUCGGCGUGCAGCGGCCCCGGCCCGGUCGCCCCUCGAGCGGCCGUGCGAUCCUCGUCUCGCGCGGACGGACGCGCCGGAGCCCGAGCCUUCCUGCCCUUUCUCCCCGCCCUCCUCCCUCCUCCUUCGCCGAGAGCCAGCAGGCGGAUUCCAAUCUCGGCAGCCGCCGCCGCCGCCGCCACUGCCGCCGCCGCCGACACUCGUAGGGGUGGGGGGGCGGCGCGGGCGCGGGGGCCUGGGGGAGGGGCGGGCCUCCGCGGGACUCGGCGCCGCGCGCGCGCACUGGGAAGACGCCCGCCCCGCCCCGGACACGAAAGGAGCCGAGCGCGCGGCGGAAGCGCCCGAAGGGUCCCCGAGGUCCGGCGCCCCGCUGCCGGGGAAGAGGGCCCGCAGCCGGCAAGGGGGCGCCGGGCUGCGGUGGGGGGACUUCUCCUCCGUGCGGCCCCACCGGCCCCUCCCCACCAGGCAGCCCUACCGCCGCCGUGGCAGGGCCGGCUGGUCUCCGGGAGCCGCGACCCACCGACGCCGCGUGCGGGAUGCACAUGACGGAGCGCGGUGGAGGAGCGCGGACACCGCGGACGCGGUCUGGGCCCUCCCGCGUCCCUUCGCGUGGACCCCCUCUGCGAUACGCUCUAAUGCUCCACGUGGGCGCCAGCACUCACACGCCACGGCGGGGAAUUGCCGGGUCGUGGUAGUGGUCGUGGCGACAAAGAAAGGGAAAUGUAGCCACACCGCUUCCAUUAUCCACCCACCGCUCCCCGGCUUCUUGGUCUGGGCUCUCUGCCAGGGUGCCGAGGCCUAG